AUUGUAACAUAUCGGAUUUUCAAUAUAAAAGAGAAAAAUAAAUAAAAGUAGUAUGAGAUACUAUUUUAUUGAAUUUAGAGAAGUGAAAUAUCGGUUGGGAACGACCUGUGCUGAAAUCGGAGCGAAAACAGAAGAUUUAGAAUUUUCUGUUGGAAACGGGACUGAUAAAUUAGCAGAAAAUGCACAGUCUCAGAAAAUUAUAAAAAUUUGUGGGGAUGUCAAAAAUAUUUUU
rnacentral:lncRNA from 1 species